AACUGGCACCUGGCACCAGUCCACGCUCCAUAUUUUGGUCCGGACGGGGACUUGAACAGGCGACCCUCCGGUUCCCAACCCAAGUCCCUAUGGACUGAGCUACUGCCGCCCCAACCUUAGAUUGUUGUUACUUAGAUUGUUAGAUUGUUGUUACUGUAACAACAAUCUAACAUAGCUUUUAGAGAAUGAGUUGGAUGACACAUGCUUCAUGUUUCUGGGUGUGAUGCAACUUAGAGUGACAUGUAAACUCUCCUCCGUAGCUAUUUGUCUUUACUGACGGAGAGGUGGGGAACACCAAAGAAGUCAUCAAUCUGGUGAAGAAGAAUUCAGGUUCCCACAGGUGUUUCUCUUUUGGGAUUGGGGAAGGGGCCAGCUCUGCUCUUAUCAACGGGUUGGCCAAGGAAGGAGGAGGUCACGCUCAGUUCAUCACAGGGAAAGAGAGGAUGCAACCUAAAGUGAUGCAGUCGCUGCGAUUUGCUCUGCAACCAGCUGUGGUGGACGUCUCAGUCAAGUGGGAUGUGCCAAAGGGAGUCUCUGUCACUGCUCUCUCUCCACCAAUCACAGCACUUUUCCAGGGUCAGAGGUCACUGAUUUACGCCCAGCUGACU